GAAAUGUUACCUGGAAGGUCGGGCAGGCAUGAUGGAGAGAGAGAUUUCAUUUGCUCAUGAGAGUAAAGACUUGAAGGACAUGCAGGAAUGAGGCCAGCAGAUAUCUGGAGCAGGGAGAGUGAGCCAGGCAAGGCUCUAAGAGUGGAGAGGGCUGGUGUGUUUGGAGCAAUUACCUAGUACUGUGCUUCUCAAACUGGAGCAGGCAUCAGUUCACUUAAUUGGAGCAUUUAGCCCAUUUACAUUUAAGGUUAAUAUUGUUAUGUGUGAAUUUGAUCCUGUCAUUAUGAUGUUAGCUGGUUAUUUUGCUUGUUAGUUGAUGCAGUUUCUUCCCAGCCUCGACGGUCUUUACAAUUUGGCAAGGUUUUGCAGUGGCUGGUACCGUUUGUUCCUUUCUAUGUUUAGUGCUUCCUUCAGGAGCUCUUUUAGGGCA
rnacentral:lncRNA from 1 species